GUGAGGAAUAUUGCGCAAUGGAGGCAACUCUGACGCAGCCAUGCCGCGUGCAGGAAGAAGGCGCUACGCGUUGUAAACUGCUUUUAACCGGGAAGAAACCCCAGGACGUGUCCUGGGUUGACGGUACCGGAGGAAUAAGCACCGGCUAACUUCGUGCCAGCAGCCGCGGUAAUACGAAGGGUGCAAGCGUUAUCCGGAUUCAUUGGGUUUAAAGGGUGCGUAGGCGGAGCGUUAAGUCAGUGGUGGAAUCCUGCAGCUUAACUGUAGACUUGCCAUUGAUACUGGCGCUCUUGAGUGCGCUUGAAGUGGGCGGAAUGUGCCGUGUAGCGGUGAAAUGCUUAGAUAUGGCACAGAACACCAAUUGCGAAGGCAGCUCACUAAGGCGAUACUGACGCUGAGGCACGAAAGCGUGGGGAUCGAACAGGAUUAGAUACCCUGGUAGUCC
rnacentral:rRNA from 1 species